UACUCUUCACUUGAGUACUAGUGAAUGGAAUAUCUAGAAUUCUUCCCUUUUGCAUUUGUAGUAAUAGAUUUCGAAAAUCAUGUGAAUUUGGAUAUUGAAGUCUCCAUUGGCCAAGAGAUUAUUCGGCUAACCAAGAAGUGUUGAAAUGAAGUCUUGUGCUGAAGGUGGCAAUAUUAUGCCUAUGGGAUUAGGACGUCACUAUUGAAAAAUGACAGUAGCAUUACAAGAUUGACGGCAGCUUUAUACAACUAUUGUAAUUGAUUUUCACAACUAUAUUAGUGACUUUUUACACAUAUGGAAUUAGCUUUUUACAUAGUUAUAUCAUUAUUGAACCUUGGAUACUUUUUGUAUCAUUGAAUAUGAUUUUUUUUCUUGAUUGUAGUAGCAUUUUUA